rnacentral:rRNA from 1 species
AAACCGUUCAGGGGUAAACCUGAGAAACCCAAAAGAUCGAAUGGGGAGAUUCAUCGUCAGCUCAUUUUGUAUAUAUAUGAGUUAUGAUAUGGGUUACUACUUGUAGUAUUGCCUGUACAUUCUUAUAUAUUUUAUUGCAAGAUGUUGUCGGCGUGCACUUCUCCCCUAGUAGGACGUCGCGACCCGUUGAGUGUCGGUCUACGGCCCAAGUGGUAGCCUUUGAUUCUUGUAAUUAAAGACCCUUGGUGUUUCCUGACUGACUGCUCGGCGGUAUUCGUACGGUAUUAAGCCGCUUUUAAGCGUUCAUAUCCGUCGCAAGCGCGGUCAAUUUUUGGUAGUACGGACCUAGUGCCGUCGCUAUAAUUGAUCAGCUGUUGGUUGUACGGUAUUCUAGAACUGGCUUAACAUAUACCGGUCUGCGAUGCUACUGCUUUGGGUACUUUCAGGA